rnacentral:rRNA from 1 species
AUUGAACGCUGGCGGCAUGCUUUACACAUGCAAGUCGAACGGUAACAGUCCUUCGGGUGCUGCCGAGUGGCUAACGGGUGAGUAAUGCAUCGGAACGUACCCAGCGUGGGGGGAUAACGCAGCGAAAUCUGUGCUAAUACCGCAUGUGAUCUGAGGAUGCAAUCGGUGGACCGAGCAGCAAUGUUUGUUCUCUCUCCUUUCGAUCUGCGGGUGUCGGAUUAGCUAGUUGGUGGGGUAAAGGCCUACCAAGGCGACGAUCCGUAGCUGGUCUGAGAGGACGACCAGCCACACUGGGACUGAGACACGGCCCAGACUCCUACGGGAGGCAGCAGUGGGGAAUUUUGGACAAUGGGCGCAAGCCUGAUCCAGCAAUGCCGCGUGAGGGAAGAAGGACUUCGGGUUGUAAAGCGCUUUUGGCAGGAACGAAACGGUGUCCGCUAAUAACGGGCGCUAAUGACGGUACCUGCAGAAUAAGCAACGGCUAACUACGUG